ensembl:lncRNA
GGUUCUUUCAAGUACAUACAGCAAAGAAAACUGCUUCAACAUCAACAAUUGCUAAUCCAACAACACACAUACAUGAAAGCUUAUGGAUUUUCAGUCCUCGAACUCUUUCCUGAAUUUAAGACUAACUGGUGAAAGAAGAAUAAGCAAAACAGUGAAAGUAACGGCUGAGAUGAGAAUUUUCUUGAAGGAAGUCAAACAUCUCCUGUUAUUUUGGGACAUGGACAUGGUGAUGAACAAAUAUCAUGGACAAGGUGAUGAACAAAAAAUCAAAUAGAAUGUUUCAUAGGGUAAAAUUACAUAUCAGACUUGAGUUUUAAUCCUGUAAUGCAAGCUUUAACUUAGCAACCUGAUAUACAACCUCAUAUAUGUCAGUUUUUGUUAAUAUUGAUGGACUUGUUAUCAGACUCUGGAUCUGGACAAAAUUCAUCAAAAUCACUAAUUUCCUGAAAGUGAAAUGGAUGUUUUUGGGACUGGGACUAUUUGUUUGCCAAAUCCAUGAGCUCUACUUUAGUUAUAUGAUGAAUAUCCCACAUAAUUAGCCACAGGCCUGUUUGGAAAGUUCAGUCUGUUUAAGAAAUUGAUUUAAUAUAUCUUCUAUGGCAUUUACAAAUGGUUAUUCACUUCAUACUUGACAUGACAUGCAUGUACAUAUAAAAUAAAACAUGUCUGAAAGUCAGGCUUCCUAAACAAAUUUGUGAAAUAGUUUUCAUACACAGAAAAGUGCCUUGAUCAAAUGCUAUCAUUAUUGAAAACUAACAAUUUUUUAAUCACUCAUUCUUGAAAACAUCAGCCUAAAAAGGCAGGAUAUUUUCUGCAGAUAUUGAAAAUUAUCAGAUACUUUAAUUACAUCCCAUAUCUCUUCCUAUUUUUUUUCUCUCAAAACAUUUUAAUGACUGAGUGCAUUGCCAUUUGGCUUUUAUUCAGCAACUAGAAGUUAUCCAGCAGUUUAUUUAUAAAAUUUGACAGCUUGUCUCCUUAUGACCUAUGAAAAAAAUGGAUAGGGCAAAAUGAUCUGAAGAAUCAGCUUUCCCUAGGUAAACAACAAGAUUCCUGCCACCUAAGAAAAUACCCCUGGGAAGAGGGAUUUUCUUUGUGCAAAAAAAUUAGAAUAAUUCUGUUAUGACUAGCAUAAUGUAAUGACCCAUCUCAAGGUAUCUGUUAAAAUAGAAGUAUACACUCCUGUUUAGCAGUAUGUGAUCUGGUAUUUAAACAGAACUUUAAAACUUGAAUAAAACCUAAUUUACCUACCUUGAUUAAUCACAUGCAAGAUUUUUCAUGUACAAUGGGGACUGUACUCAUAUUUUUUGACAAAGUAUUUCCUUACAGGACAAAAUUCUGAAAAUAUAUUCUUUAAGAAGAAAAACAGAUCUUUUCUAAUGGUGAAUGCUUAAAAUGGUUGCUUCAGUUUAACAAUUGAUAAAUUGUACUGAUAAAUCUUAAACAUUCUGACAGUGUUACUUUGUUAUUUAUGUAAAUAGUGCAUGUCAGCAAAAUAUGUUAAGACCAUGAGAAAAAUCUAAGUACUACUACAGUAGAUUUUAUACUGCUCAUAACUGUCUCAUGUCACUGAGUCAAAGUUGAUAUGUUAAGAAAAAAUCCCAAUUUCCCUAAAUUUUGAAUCUACUGUGACAAGUCUAGGAAAUUUAGAUACAAGGAAUAAUUUCCCAUAUGUUAGACAUUCCAGGAUGACAGUGGUGCAUUGAGUCAGACAGGCUAGUAUUCUUUAACAUGAUAAAAAAUAUAUAAACUUAUUUAUAUACUGAAUUCACCAGAAAAUAAACAAAAAAAUAAUACUUCAAGUAUAACUUAUUUUUUAGACUAAAAAAGAUGUCUAAAAACCUUUGGGUUAAAUUUUAUGUCUUAUGAGAAUUUUAGCAUACUGCAGUUAAUUUUUAAUCGUGUCAGUACCAUCACCGUAUCUAAAAUAACUUAUUUUAUUUUAAUGAAACACCAGUAAUACUUAUCACUUCUUGAAAUGAAAGAUACAAUUGCUUUAAUCCAUAUAUUAGAAAUUUCCAAAUUCAAUACUUUUUGUACAAAUUAAAGUUGACAAUGGACUUUUUUUUUUUUUUAAGACUGGUCCAAAGAAUCUUGAAAGUCUUUAAUAUGUCUUAUUCUGACCUAUGAAAAUACUGUAGUUGGCAAGAUGAUCUGAAGAAUCAGAUUUGUCUAGGAACAAAAUGUCUAGCACCUGAGAAAAUCC